UACGGAGGGCGCGAGCGUUACCCGGAUUUACUGGGCGUAAAGGGCGUGUAGGCGGCUUGGGGCGUCCCAUGUGAAAGGCCACGGCUCAACCGUGGAGGAGCGUGGGAUACGCUCAGGCUAGACGGUGGGAGAGGGUGGUGGAAUUCCCGGAGUAGCGGUGAAAUGCGCAGAUACCGGGAGGAACGCCGAUGGCGAAGGCAGCCACCGGGCUCACUUGUGACGUUGAGGCGCGAAAGCGUGGGGAGCAAACCGG
rnacentral:rRNA from 1 species